rnacentral:rRNA from 1 species
UACGAAGGGGGCUAGCGUUGCUCGGAAUCACUGGGCGUAAAGCGCACGUAGGCGGAUUCCUAAGUCGGGGGUGAAAUCCUGGAGCUCAACUCCAGAACUGCCUUCGAUACUGGGAAUCUUGAGUCCGGAAGAGGUGAGUGGAACUGCGAGUGUAGAGGUGAAAUUCGUAGAUAUUCGCAAGAACACCAGUGGCGAAGGCGGCUCACUGGUCCGGUACUGGACGCUGAGGCGCGAAAGCGGUGGGGAGCAAACAGGG